ACUUGCAGAUAUGAAAAAAAGAAAUGCGUUUUGGGGAAUUCAAUUUCACUUUUUACACGCUGUCACUUCAUGUAGCUGCCCAGUUUAACCGCGUUCAAUAACAGAAAACAAGCAAUUAAUAGAAUUACUGCAGCUUUAAACAGCAGAAACGAGAUGUUUUGUUGUGUCAGACUCGGAUACAAAAAAAGGUGUGGCACACCCGGGGAAAGCACAUUAAGCGCUGUUUGGAAUGUUGUUUUGUAAAAUAUUGUAUAACAGCGCUUUGUUUUGCAAUAGUUGUGACUGAUUUCCGUGUGUAUAGGCUUCGUGCAGGACCGUACUUAGAUCUGUUUAGACAAACUCAUCAUGGACCUGACACUGAAACUACAAUGCAGCAUAACGACUUACUCUGAGAUGCGAUAUUUUUCACAUAUGACAGGUUCCAUUCUGCUGUGUGUUUUAAUGCCAUUGUUAAAUAACCAUUGAUCGGUUUCCCCCUCUAUAACACUCCCAGCUGAACUUUGUCAAGUCUUAAAGGAUCCCAGUGAUUCAGCCUCAACAUGGCUAGGUAACCCAUUCCAUCCCCUCACUGCUCUCUGUGUGAAGAAGCGUCUCCUUCAGUCUCUGCCGGAGGCCCAUGGCUGAAAAGCAAGACCCAGCCAGUCCGAAUCGAGCUAAAAAUCAGAAUUAAACGCAGGAGCACAGCCGCUGUACAAACCUCAACACCAGAAUUGUGUGAUAACAGUGGAAACCAUUUCCAGCUGUCUCUGUGUGUUUUAUUCAAAUGCCUGAUCAUAAUUUUUAGCAAAAUGCAAUUUAAAAAAAAAAGAAAAACAUAAAAAAACGAGUAGAUCAAGCAUUUUUUUUAUAUGGCUGAGAUUAGCAUCAGUAGAGCUCUGGACAAAGUCACAAAUCUGAACAGGGAAAAACAGUCAACUUGAACCGCCUCGUCAGGAGAAAGACUUUGAUGAUGUAAGAGGCUCGUUAUUGCUGUGAGCACCCACACAGUGCAGGGGACCAAAUUCAACAAGUAAGCAGAAUGCUGGGGCUACAGCCAAAAGUGUAGAGCACAAAUCCAAGGAAGUCAUGAUGAGGGUGUAUAAUGCACUGGUGAGCCCGCACUGAGAAUACUGUGUCCAGCUCUGGUCACCACAGCACCAAAGGAACAGUGUGUGAAGCAUCCAGACUAUCCCAGGGCUUAAAGGAACGAGCUACGGAGACAGGUUGCAGGAAGUGAAUUUGUUUAUUGGAUUACAUUUGUUAAAAUCUGAAAAGGAGCUGACAAAGUUAACCGUAACCACAAUUUUAAGCGCAUCAUAGAAACCAGCACCAGAGAACACAGCUGGUAAACGGAGACAGAAUCCAGUGAAUAAAACGUUCAUAAGCUUAGUAAGGUGUGCGUUUGCAGCUUCUCUCCACAAGAUGGCAGUAGAGCCUACGAGAAAUUGCUUUCUAUGCGUGAGACGAAAACCAGUUUAAUACAGUAUUUAUUAUAUAUUUUUUUAAAUGCGUUGUGUAUCACCUCCAUUGUUUCGUCUGUUUGAAAUGCCCAACUCGAAUGUCGCUGUAACCGCUGGAACGCACUUACCGCCGGCUCCAGAGCUCCGUAUCCGCGUUAUUGUUUCUGGAGUAGACUUAUUUGAAUAGAGCCUUGCAGAUGGGAUCGUCUUUUUGCGUUGCUAAAAGUGUUCCACAGUUCAAAUUUAUAAAUGCAAACAAUUGUUUACUUUUGUGUUGAAACCAAAUCACAAUAUAAAGAAAAAAAUGGUAUAUCCAAAAAAUAUAUAUUUUACCCCCUCUAUGACGUAUUUUCCCGUUUUAAGCCAUGAUGUGCGUUACUACCCAUUCUCCACCCUAAGACCUGAAUGAACCUGCUUGCAGAGGGAGGGGCAGGGUAUCACUGGAACAGCACAGUGCUUGACUACCCAUUCUCCACACUGAGACCAGAAUGAACCUGCUUGCAGAGGGAGGGGGAGGGUAUCACUGGAAUAGCACAGUGCUUGACUACCCAUUCUCCACACUGAGACCUGAAUGAACCUGUUUGCAGAGGGAGGGGGAGGGUAUCACUGGAACAGCACAGUGCUUGACUACCCAUUCUCCACCCUGAGACCUGAAUGAACCUGCUUGCAGAGGGAGGGGAGGGUAUCACUGGAACAGCACAGUGCUUGACUACCCAUUCUCCACACUAACAGAACCUGCUUGCAGAGGGAGGGGAGGGUAUCACUGGAACUGUAUCACAGGAGGCUGUGUGGUCCAGUGGUUAAAGAAAAGGGUUUGUAACUAGAAGAUCCCGGUUCAAAUCCCACCUCAGCCACUAACUCAUUGUGUGACCCUGAGCAAGUCACUUAACCUCCUUGUGCUCCGUCUUUCGGGUGAGACGUAAUUGUAAGUGACUCUGCAGCUGAUGCAUAGUUCACACAUCUAGUCUCUGUAAGUUGCCUUGGAUAAAGGCGUCUGCUAAAUAAACUAAUAAUAACAGCACGGUGCUUGACUACCCAUUGUCCACACUGAGACCUGCACAAACCUGCUUGCAGAGGGAGGGGAGGAUAUGAGUGGAACAGAGAAUGAGGUUCAGAAUGGGGCGGGGCUCAGGAGAGAAGUUAAAACAUUAUUAAAGCAAAGGCAAUGGACACCGAGGUAAGUUUUGAUUACUGUCUUUAUUUAUUUCAAUAGCAUUGCUGAUUGAUUGAAAUAAACGACCAGAAGACACUACUAGAAGCAGGCUGACCCAAUGUGGGGCAAGGCAAUUCAAAACGGGUUGUUUUUCUAUUCUUCAAAGAGCUGAAUAAAUAACAUGGAAUAAAACAGACAAUCUGAGGAACAAACUGGCCCCUGAACCCUCCACCCCCCAAA